GAUGAACGCUGGCGGCGUGCCUAAUACAUGCAAGUCGAACGAACAGACGAGGUCCUUUCUCCUCUGAGUUUAUCGGCGGACGGGUGAUUAACACGUGGAUAACCUACCUAUCAGACUGGGAUGAUUUCCACAAACCAGGGCUACUACCGGAUAAUAUAUUGAAUCUGAUGGUUCAAUAGUUAAAGAAGGUUUUUGUUUCACUUAUAGAUGGAUCCGCGUCCCAUUAGCUAGUUGGUAAGGUGACGGCUUACCAAGGCAACGAUGAGUAGCCGGCCUGAGAGGGAGAUGGGCCACACGGGAACUGAGACACGGCCCAGACUCCUACGGGAGGAAGCAGCAGGGAAUCCUACGCAAUGGAGGAAAGCCUGAUGGAGCAACGCCGCGUGAGGGAUGAAGGUGUUCGGCGGGUAAAACUCUGUUAUCCGGAAAGAACAAAUGCGUAAGUACCUAUGAACGUCUUGACGGUACCUAGUCAGAAAGCCACGGCUAACUCCGUG
rnacentral:rRNA from 1 species